rnacentral:rRNA from 1 species
GACGAACGCUGGCGGCGUGCCUAAAACAUGCAAGUCGAACGGGGUCUUCGGACCCAGUGGCGAACGGCGGAGUAAUACAUAAGCAACGUGCCCUAAAGACUGGGAUAAUCAUUGGAAACGAUGGGUAAUACCAGGUGUGGUCUUCUCUUGGCAUCUUGAGAAGAGUAAACGGUUAUUCGCUUUAGGAUCGGCUUAUGGCCUAUCAGGUAGUUGGGGGGGUAACAGCCUACCAAGCCGACGACGGGUAGCGGGUCUGAGAGGAUGAUCAGCCACACUGGGACUGAGACACGGCCCAUACUCCUACGGGAGGCAGCAGUGGGGAAUCUUAGACAAUGGGGGAAACCCUGAUCUAGCCAUGCCGCGUGAUCGAUGAAGGCCUUAGGGUUGUAAAGAUCUUUCAGUGGGGAAGAUAAUGACUGUACCCACAGAAGAAGCCCCGGCUAACUCCGUGCCAGCCGCCGCCGUAAUAC